rnacentral:rRNA from 1 species
AGUGAACGCUGGCGGUAGGCCUAGCACAUGCAAGUCGAACGGCAGCACAGAGGAGCUUGCUCCUUGGGCGGCGAGUGGCGGACGGGUGAGGAAUACAUCGGAAUCUACUCUGUCGUGGGGGAUAACGUAGGGAAACUUACGCUAAUACCGCAGACGACCUACGGGUGAAAGCAGGGGAUCUUCGGACCUUGCGCGAUUGAAUGAGCCGAUGUCGGAGUAGCUAGUUGGCGGGGUAAAGGCCCACCAAGGCGACGAUCCGUAGCUGGUCUGAGAGGAUGAUCAGCCACACUGGAACUGAGACACGGUCCAGACUCCUACGGGAGGCAGCAGUGGGGAAUAUUGGACAAUGGGCGCAAGCCUGAUCCAGCCAUACCGCGUGGGUGAAGAAGGCCUUCGGGUUGUAAAGCCCUUUUGUUGGGAAAGAAAUCCAUCUGGUUAAUACCCGGGUGGGAUGACGGUACCCAAAGAAUAAGCACCGGCUAACUUCGUGCCAGCAGCCGCCGUAA